rnacentral:rRNA from 1 species
GCCUAACACAUGCAAGUCGAACGGAGGUAGCGGAGCUUGCUCCAUGAUUCAGCGGCGGACGGGUGAGUAAUGCCUAGGAAUCUGCCUGGUAGUGGGGGACAACGUUUCGAAAGGAACGCUAAUACCGCAUACGUCCUACGGGAGAAAGCAGGGGACCUUCGGGCCUUGCGCUAUCAAAUGACCCUAGGUCGGAUUAUCUAGUAGGUGAGGUAAAGGCUCACCUAGGCGACGAUCCGUAACUGGUCUGAGAAGAUGAUCACUCACACUGGAACUGAAACUCGGUCCAAACUCCUACGGGAGGCAGCUGUGGACAAUAUUGCCACCAUGGGCGAAAGCCUGAUCCAGCCAUGCCUCGUGUGUAAAGAAGGUCCUCCGAUUGGAAACUAAUUUAAAUUUCUCAGGAACGGCAGUUAAUUAAUACCUUGCUGGUUUG